rnacentral:rRNA from 1 species
CGCCCUUGGGGAAUUUUCCGCAAUGGGCGAAAGCCUGACGGAGCAACGCCGCGUGAGGGACGAAGGCCUCUGGGCUGUAAACCUCUUUUCUCAAGGAAGAAGAUAUGACGGUACUUGAGGAAUAAGCCACGGCUAAUUCCGUGCCAGCAGCCGCGGUAAUACGGGAGUGGCAAGCGUUAUCCGGAAUUAUUGGGCGUAAAGCGUCCGCAGGCGGCUUUUCAAGUCUGCUGUUAAAGCGUGGAGCUUAACUCCAUCAUGGCAGUGGAAACUGAAAGGCUUGAGUAUGGUAGGGGCAGAGGGAAUUCCCGGUGUAGCGGUGAAAUGCGUAGAUAUCGGGAAGAACACCAGUGGCGAAGGCGCUCUGCUGGGCCAUUACUGACGCUCAUGGACGAAAGCCAGGGGAGCGAAAGGGAUUAGAUACCCCUGUAGUCAAGGGC